CUGGGUGAGGGGAAAGAACCAGUCUUCCGAUCGCCUUGCCGCACCGGCCGUCUCAGAUGCCGAUUGGCUCGCGGGAUUUGAAGGGCUAACACCCGUUUUGUGACAGCCAUCGCAGCUCCAGUGGUCUGGGAGAACUAACGUGAGCACUGAAGACAAACCCUAAAAGAUUGUGAAGUCGCUGGAAGAAAAAGCAUUUAUCACUUCAUAACAUGAAAUGUUAUGUUAAUGAAUAUCAGAAGUGAAGUGAGUACUGGGGAGAAAUGCUCAUUGUCAUUAGAGGCCGAACCACAAGUG